rnacentral:rRNA from 1 species
AGAGUUUAAUCCUGGCUCAGAGCGAACGCUGGCGGCAGGCCUAAUACAUGCAAGUCGAGCGGUCCCUUCGGGGGCAGCGGCGGACGGGUGAGUAACGCGUGGGAACGUGCCCUUUGGUACGGAACAACUGAGGGAAACUUCAGCUAAUACCGUAUGUGCCCUUCGGGGGAAAGAUUUAUCGCCAUUGGAGCGGCCCGCGUUAGAUUAGCUAGUUGGUAGGGUAAUGGCCUACCAAGGCGACGAUCUAUAGCUGGUCUGAGAGGAUGAUCAGCCACACUGGGACUGAGACACGGCCCAGACUCCUACGGGAGGCAGCAGUAGGGAAUCUUGCGCAAUGGGCGAAAGCCUGACGCAGCCAUGCCGCGUGAAUGAUGAAGGUCUUAGGAUUGUAAAAUUCUUUCACCGGGGACGAUAAUGACGGUACCCGGAGAAGAAGCCCCGGCUAACUUCGUGCCAGCAGCCGCGGUAA